rnacentral:rRNA from 1 species
UUCGCCCUUAGAGUUUGAUCCUGGCUCAGGAUGAACGCUGGCGGCGUGCCUAACACAUGCAAGUCGAACGAUUAACCCGGGCUUGCCCGGUUAUAAAGUGGCGAACUGGUGAGUAACACGUAACCAACCUGCCUUGCACUUUGGGAUAACUUAUGGAAACAUAUGCUAAUACCGAAUAAUCUCCUUCCCCCGCAUGAGGGAUUGAGCAAAGCGUUAUUGUAGCGGUACAAGAUGGGGUUGCGGUCCAUUAGAUAGUUGGUGGGGUAACGGCCUACCAAGUCGACGAUGGAUAGCCGAACUGAGAGGUUGAUCGGCCACAUUGGGACUGAGAUACGGCCCAGACUCCUACGGGAGGCAGCAGUGGGGAAUAUUGCGCAAUGGAGGCAACUCUGACGCAGCAACGCCGUGUGCAGGAUGACGGCCCUAGGGUUGUAAACUGCUUUCAGUAGGGAAGAAGUAAUUGACGGUACCUACACAAGAAGCUCCGGCUAACUACGUGCCAGCAGCCGCGGUAAUACGUAGGGAGCAAGCGUUAUCCGGAUUUAUUGGGCGUAAAGCGCGCGCAGGCGGGUGUUUAAGCGGAUCUUCUAACCCGAGGGCUCAACCCCCCGGUCGGGAUCCGAACUGGACAUCUUGAGUGCGGUAGGGGCAGGCGGAAUUCCAUGUGUAGCGGGUGAAAUGGGCAGAUAUAUGGAAGAACACCCGAUGGGGGAAGGCAGGCCUGCUGGGCCGACACUGACGGUCAGGUGCGAAAGCUAGGGGAGCAAACAGGAUUAGAUACCCUGGUAGUCCUAGCCGUAAACGAUGGACACUAGGUGUGGGGGUCAUGUGACUUCCGCGCCGCAGCUAACGCAUUAAGUGUCCCGCCUGGGGAGUACGACCGCAAGGUUAAAACUCAAAGGAAUUGACGGGGACCCGCACAAGCAGCGGAGCAUGUGGCUUAAUUCGAAGCAACGCGAAGAACCUUACCAGGGCUUGACAUAUAGUUGAAGCUAUGGAAACAUAGUGGCUUAAUUGAGAUUAUACAGGUGGUGCAUGGCUGUCGUCAGCUCGUGUCGUGAGAUGUUGGGUUAAGUCCCGCAACGAGCGCAACCCCUGUCACAUGUUACCAUCAUUAAGUUGGGGACUCAUGUGAGACUGCCGGCGUUAAGCCGGAGGAAGGUGGGGACGACGUCAAGUCAUCAUGCCCCUUAUGUCCUGGGCUGCACACGUGCUACAAUGGUUGGUACAGAGGGCUGCGAACCUGCGAAGGUAAGCGAAUCCCCCAAAGCCAGCCUUAGUUCGGAUUGUAGGCUGAAACUCGCCUGCAUGAAGUCGGAGUUGCUAGUAAUCGCGAAUCAGCACGUCGCGGUGAAUGCGUUCCCGGGUCUUGCACACACCGCCGGUCA